rnacentral:rRNA from 1 species
UCUUCGGAUUGUAAAGCCCUGUUUUCUGGGACGAUAAUGGACGGUACCAGAGGAGGAAGCCACGGCUAACUACGUGCCAGCAGCCGCGGUAAUACGUAGGUGGCGAGCGUUGUCCGGAUUUACUGGGCGUAAAGGGUGCGUAGGCGGAUGUUUAAGUGGGAUGUGAAAUCCCCGGGCUUAACCUGGGGGCUGCAUUCCAAACUGGAUAUCUAGAGUGCAGGAGAGGAAAGCGGAAUUCCUAGUGUAGCGGUGAAAUGCGUAUAGAUUAGGAAGAACACCAGUGGCGAAGGCGGCUUUCUGGACUGUAACUGACGCUGAGGCACGAAAGCGUGGGUAGCAAACAGGAUUAAAUACCCUGGUAGUCCACGCCGUAAACGAUGGAUACUAGGUGUAGGGGGUAUCAACUCCCUCUGUGCCGCAAUUAACACAAUAAGUAUCCCGCCUGGGGAGUACGGUCGCAAGAUUAAAACUCAGAGGAAUUGACGGGGGCCCGCACAAGCAGCGGAGCAUGUGUUUUUAAUUCGAAGCAACGCGAAGAACCUUACCUGGACUUGACAUCCCUUGCAUACCCUAGAGAUAGGUGAAGCUCCUUCGGGGGCAAGGAGACAGGUGGUGCAUGGUUGUCGUCAGCUCGUGUCGUGAGAUGUUAGGUUAAGUCCUGCAACGAGCGCAACCCUUGUUAUUAGUUGCUACCAUUAAGUUGAGCACUCUAAUGAGACUGCCCUGGGUUAACCUCGAAAGAAGGUGGGGGAUGAACGUCCAAUCAUCAUGCCCCUUUAUGUCCUAGGCUACACACG